CCUACGGGAGGCUGCAGUCGAGAAUCAUUCACAAUGGGGGAAACCCUGAUGCUGCGACGCCGCGUGGGGGAAUGAAGGUCUUCGGAUUGUAAACCCCUGUUAUGUGGGAGCAAAGUAAAAAGAUAGUACCACAAGAGGAAGAGACGGCUAACUCUGUGCCAGCAGCCGCGGUAAUACAGAGGUCUCAAGCGUUGUUCGGAAUCACUGGGCGUAAAGGGUGCGUAGGCUGUUUCGUAAGUCGUGUGUGAAAGGGGCGGGCUCAACCCGCGGAUGGCACAUGAUACUGGGAGACUAGAGUAAUGGAGAGGGAACCGGAAUUCGCGGUGUAGCAGUGAAAUGCGUAGAUAUCGAGAAGAACACUGAUGGCGAAGGCAGGUUCCUGGACAUUAACUGACGCUGAGGCACGAAGGCCAGGGGAGCGAAAGGGAUUAGAUACCCUAGUAGUC
rnacentral:rRNA from 1 species